rnacentral:rRNA from 1 species
UGGAGCUCAGAUCAUGUAGGGAUACCCGCUGAACUUAAGCAUAUCAAUAAGCGGAGGA